UUUUAUAGAAUAGAUGAAAUGAUAGGUACUUCAUUGAUUAUCUUUUCACAUAAUCCUGUUUAUCCCAUAAGUGGAAAUACUUCUCAAGAGUGAAAUAGCCAAAUGGAGGAAAAGUUCUUGGAUAAUAGCACACAUUAGUCUUAUUUAAAAUUGUCAUUCCAAAUUAUGAUAAUUUGUUUCCAAAGAUGGCCGCCAUAAAUUUCUUCUUUCUCUGCACCUAUGCACAAUUCCCACAUCAAGAGGUGAAGUCUAAUUUCCCUCCCCUGUUAUCUGGACUGACCUUCAGUUUUUGUUUCACCAAUACAAUCAGGUAGAAAUGAUAUUGUAGCACUCCCAAGGCUAGGUCGUAAGAAACUUUGCACCUUUCCCCUGGGCCACAUGGAACAUUCCUCUUGGGAUGCUCUUGAAACGCAUCAGUCAUACUGUGAGAAAUUCAAGUCACAUCCAAAAACCACAUAUAGAAGCUUCAGUAGACAGUCUCAGCAGAACUGCCAAUCAACAACUGGCCAUAUGGUACAGCUAUCUUGACCAUAAAACCCAAUUGGGCCUUCAAAUGAUUCCAACCCAGCCACCAUCUGUUAGCACCUACUUGGGAGACUCUGAGCAAGAACCAUUCAGCUCAGUCCAGUUAACCUAACAGAACUUUAAGAGAUCAUAAUAAAUUGCUAUUUUGAGCCACUAAAUUUUAGGAUGGUUUAUAGCAGAGCAAUAAAUAACUGAAACAGAAAUACAAAUAUUUUGAAUAAUCCACCUGUUUCUUCUUUUUUCAACUCUUUGCAUAGUCUUUUUUAACCAGGUACUAUGCUAGGUGCUGGUGAUAGAUUCAAAGAUGAAAGAGAUAUAAGAUGUAAAGCCUGAUGCAUUUUCAUAAGGAACAUUUACUUGGUGAGACAGACAAAUGUGUAGAAGAAUAUUAUGCCAUAUGAUAAGUGAUACAAAAAUGCAUAUGAUUCCUGAGGGAUCACAUAGCUUUGGGAAAAUGAAUUGACUUUUUUUGGGAAGGUUAUUAAUAAAUAAAACUGAAAACUAAGCAGAAGACACAGAGAAUCACCUGAGCACUAGCAUGGGGCAAAGAUGGCAUGUGGAACUUUCUUGGAAUUGCAAAUAGUUCAGUCUGGCUGGGGCAUAGAAUAUGAAGACUAAGUGGAGAGAUAUAAUUGGGAAAGUUGACAGAGAGCUCAAAAACGUCCUUGUAUACUGUCAAACGAGUUUGGAUUUUAUUAUGCAAUGUUAAAUUCUAGUCAUUUUCAUCCAUUCAUCUUUUAUUUUACCUUACUAUCCUUCAACAACUAAAAAAUAUUCAUACUCCUCCAAUGGCUAAGUUAAAGGAUCUUGAGGACAGGAAGAGAGUCACAUUGUCUGAUUUAUGAUUCAGGAUGAUGGAAUCUUUUGACCAGAUUUCUUUUUUUUAGAUCUUAAAAUGCAUUCUCUUCAGUGAAGCCAUCUUUGGGGUUAGUCAUUACUCUCACCUUAUCUGUCAUCUUGACUCCAAUAUGCUAUUCCUCUUCUUUUGGUCUAGACUCUCCAAUUUUAAAGCUAUUUUCCAGUUAAGGAAAGGUCAUUUUUCCACAGUUCAGUUCUCUGAAAAACUUACAUCCCCCAGUGAAAGUCACAGUCCAGGAGUGAAGCAAUCACAUGCUAGAACUUUAAGGCCAAUUGGAAAGUCUUUACAAACACUUGCCUUGGUCAAUCUUAUUUCUUGCUACAAGCCUGAAAAUGCACAGUCCUAAAAAAUAUGUUGUCUCUGUGCACACAUGUAAUUUUUAAAAAGGAGAGGGCAAUACGAAGGGAACUGAGGCUUGAUCACCAAAAAUCAGCACAAUGAAAACAAAUGAUAAUGAAUAAUGAGCACUAGAAUUCAAAUUACCAGAUGUUUUAAAGAGAUGGAGUGCCAGUUUUCAAUUCCAUUUUGAGUACCACAUUACAAAAGAACUAUUUUAAAAAUAAAAAACUGAUUGAGGGAAAAGAAAAACAAAUAAAAGAAUACCUAAACUACUGAAUGAUCUCAUUUGCUCCUGAUAAACUUCAAUCACAUCUUCUUACUCCAUUCCCAGUUCUUUUAUAGUAUGAGUAGCAGCAGUUCUCUGAUCUUCAAAGACAAAUCUGAGUGAAUUCAUUGGAACUCCCUGUCUUUGACAGUAUGAUUCUUUGAGUUUCUUCAGAUGUGUUGUCAUUUUCACUUUGAAGUGAAUCUCACCGCUAUCCUGUCCUGUGACUUUGAGUUUAACAUAUUCUCAUUCCUUCUUAUUCCCCAAGUCAUUGGUUGAAGGUUUUGCCUCUUGCAUAGCAGUGACCUCAGGUAGGCAAAACUUCAUCUGGGGGUUUAUAAAUUGGUCUCCCUUCCGCAUAGUACAAUACUGUGGCUGCAGGGACUCUGUUCUUGUCUUUUAAAAGGUGGUAUAGGUAUGCGCUUGCUUCUAUACAAAGGAAGAAAAUGCAUUAGAGAAGAAGAGACAGAAUACAUGGAUGAAAGGAACGAAGAAGGGGAACUCAGAGCACAGGCAGAGAAAAGGCAUUGGAGGACACUUUUCCCCACUGAGGAAGGUGGGAAUAAGUUAAAGAUGCAUAAGUUUCUAAAGGCAUGACGGAAGGGGGCAGGGCGCAGUCAAGAAGCCUCUAUGCAGUAGGUGAGAGCUGUGGCAUCCAAGAAUAAUGGAGAGGAUGGUAGGUAGGUGGCUUCUAAAAAAAUGGCAAGGAUCUGUAAAAGCUACUGUAGAGUAGUAAGAUUGGACUGACUUGAGUCUCAGAGAAGGACUGCUGCAUAGCUACACGGCCAAGCUAAGGUUUAAAAGAAUGACUUUAUAUUGUCAGUAAUCUGCAUGGGUAUGUUAUCUUUUUUUCCUAGCACUCAGCAAUUCAAGUAUGACAGUGAGAAGGUGAGUGGCUGGAUUGAUCCAAGGUUAUAACUUUUCUGGGCAGAUGCAGUGAACUCAAAAACUGGAUGACAGUUAAGAAUACUGACAAAAGAGUAGUGAGAAAGAUAGGACACAGGGUCUAAGCAAGGACUUGGACAGCUCAUUCAGGUGAAAAAAUGGGUUUAAAAGUAAGAAAGCUGAAAUGAUCAGGGGCUGUGGUUAGAGAGGUGUUGUGCAGAUUGGAGACUGAGUGGGCUUUCCUUAUGGGCACGAGAGACACAGGGUGAUGUAACACUUCUAGAGAAGGGAUUGUGAGCUAUCCAUGAUGGUGAUGACAUCACUGGUCAUCACCAUCACUUCAGUAGGAGGUCAGUAAACUCCAUCUAUGUCAAGAGUGAAGAAUGCUAGAGCUAUAGUACAAGAGCCAACAGGAGCCUCAAAAUAAGAGAGAAAUACAGAAAUGAUGAUAAGGAACAGGCUGAUUAACUCUGAAGCAUUGAGCAGAAAUGUCACCUGAGAUGAUGCUGUUUAUAUCUUGUCUGUCACAAGUUCUACGGUUUGGUGCUCCUUGAUGAGAGAUGCACCAACCAUGGGGCUUCAGAGAAUGAGGGAGACCAUCAUUACGGGGAGAUGCAAAGACAGGGUCUUGCUCUGUUGCCCAGGUUGGAGUGCA